rnacentral:rRNA from 1 species
UGGGGAAUAUUGCACAAUGGGCGGAAGCCUGAUGCAGCGACGCGNNGGGGGAUGAAGGCCUUCGGGUUGUAAACUCCUUUCGACAGGGACGAAGCUUUUGUGACGGUACCUGUAUAAGAAGCACCGGCUAACUACGUGCCAGCAGCCGCGGUAAUACGUAGGGGGCGAGCGUUGUCCGGAAUUACUGGCCGUAAAGAGCUCGUAGGUGGUUUGUCGCGUCGUCUGUGAAAUUCCGGGGCUUAACUCCGGGCGUGCAGGCGAUACGGGCUGACUUGAGUGCUGUAGGGGAGACUGGAAUUCCUGGGGUAGCGGUGAAAUGCGCAGAUAUCAGGAGGAACACCGAUGGCGAAGGCGGGUCUCUGGGCAGUAACUGACGCUGAGGAGCGAAAGCUUGGUUAGCGAACAGGAUUAGAUCCCCUGGAAGUCCAUGCCGUAAACGGUGGGGGGCUAGGGGUAGGGGGCUUCCCACGUCUUCCGGUGCCGNAGCUAACGCAUUAGGCGCCCCNGCCUGGGGANGUACGGCCGNCAAGNNUAA